UGCCAAAGCCUUUUAUAACAACUGGGGCUGAGUCAGCUGCUGGAGCACUGCAGAACAGGGUCUCAGGGGCUGUUUUUGUGCUGCUGACAUUGAUGGACCUUUCCAGUUGAUAGAACAGGUUUUAAUCAGCAUCUAAUAUUGUCUUCUGAAUGAAAUGUUGUGAAGGCACUGCACACGAAGAAUAUCUCUGGGGAAGAAAAACAUGGUUAUGAAUUUGAAGAGAGAGAAUUAAAUUCAUAUCUUCUCCCAGCCAUUCUCCAUUGCCCUGGCAAUUCUGCUGUUGGUUUGUUUUGGGCUUUUUUCCCUUCAAUUUUACUGUUUCACAGACGGUUCAGCAAUGAGAACCAUGGAAUACCAAGGAGACCACAGAGGAUUAUGUGUUCCUGGAGUGUUGAGCCA
rnacentral:lncRNA from 1 species